GUAUAGAAAAAUCAUAAGCUAGUUUUUAAUUCUGGAAUACUUGAUGUUUAAACGUUUAUUCUUCUCAAAUUUGUUGGCAGUAAACCCAGUGCGCCGAAAACAGCCAGGUAUCUCUCCUUCAAGGCAAUCUGCCCAUCGUUAUUCAAAGUGCCAGAGGUUUAAAAAGUGUCUUAGCAUCAUCAUAUUUCAGACUGAGAAAAGACAGAUCUGUUUUUUCCUACUCAAAAGGAGUGGAGUGAAAUCCAAGUCCUCCAAAAAAGAGACGGAAUGCUGUUCUACCUCACUACUCACUCCUACUCCAAACUUUAACUUUUGGACUCACAUCAUUUUUAGAAUGUUAAGCCAUUUUUCAAAGACAUUAGACUCCCAAGAGACCACGAAGUUACGACAUUGAAAACAAACCAGAGUGUUCACAGCAUCGCAAACUGCACUCCUUCCACCCUCCAGUCUUUCGAAAGGAGGUUUGGGAAGACAUGAGCUGUUGAGAAGUUGCCAGUUAAGAAGUCAGUUUGGAAGCCACUUUAAACCAAAGUUGCGUAAUCAGAACUGUUGGUCUUAAGUAUGUGUUUGAGUAAUGUAUUAAAUGGCAUUAACAUGGACAGUAAAACUCUUGCAUUAUUUUCUUCCCUGGAGGCAUAUAAUGCAAAACUUCAUUGACUGGAGCCAGUUUGGUAAAUGGGGCAGAAAAUGCCUGUAGAACUGAUGUAAUGUUACAAAGAAAGCGGAGCAUAAGAUGGCAUAUAAACUCCUAAUGGUAUUGUUUCCUAGAUUCUCCUUGUGCAGCAAAGUGAGUAUCGUUGCUGCUUUUAGGGGAAUAGCCCGAUUACAGUUAAGGCACCAAUGUAUACGCUGCCUGGCACACAUAUGACUAUGGGGCACAGAUUAGAAUUCAUUUCAUCGAGCUUUAAUUUCAUGUUCAGCCCCUUAAAAGUUCCAUAUCUUUUAAAUAUGCUGCCAGCAACCUGUUAUCUGGUAUAAUGAAAAGCAGUGUAACCACUCACCAAAUAAAAUCCCAUAUAAAAUCUAAACCUCA
rnacentral:lncRNA from 1 species